GACUGUUUACCAAAGACAUAGCCAGUCGCUUAAAUGACUGGUGUAGCCUGCCCACUGAACAAUAUUAAAGGGCCGCGGUAACUCUGACCGUGCUAAGGUAGCAUAAUCACUCGCCGCCUAAUUAGCGGAUAGAAUGAAAGGCUGAACGAGCCCACCACUGUCUCAGCUUUAGAUCUAACGAAAUUAAAUUAGCUGUUAAGAUGCAGUUGAAAAUUGGAAAGACGAGAAGACCCCGUGAGCUUUACUUCGAGCUACCUCCUUACAAAAGGUGGUAAGAAGUUUGGUUGGGGCGACCUCCCAAACUCUAGAAACUUGGGAAUACAAGGGUAAUUUUAAUAAGUAGAAGCUUAACAAGUGGGAAACCGCCCAGCUUGAUAGAAAAUCUAAGUUAUAGUGACCCACCCUCUGUAGGGGUGAAUAUGGAUAAAAGUUACCACGGGGAUAACAGGGUAAUCCAGCCUUAGAGUUCCUAUCGAAGGAAGGGUUUGCCACCUCGAUGUUGAAUAGUAGUAUCCUGGGGGUGCAGCAGCUCCCAAAGGUUGGUCUGUUCGACCAGUAAAACUGUACUUGAUUUGAGUUCAUUCCGUCGUAAGACAGGAAGGUUUCUAUCUUGAAGAUAGGUUUAUUGCGCGCAGGUU
rnacentral:rRNA from 1 species